GCAUUUUUAAAUAGAUACCGCAUGUUUGAUAUUAACUAAUAAACUGCAAGAAGAACAAAUCUCCAUGGUAAUAUAUGGUUCUGAAGUCCCACAUUACGACAACCUAUUCAAAGUUUUCCACACAUAUCUUAUCUCAACAGCAAAAGUAAGAGAACCUUCACAGUAUUCAAUACCGUUGAACAAAUACGAAUGGAUCAUCGAUACAUUUACCAUUGUCGAGGAAGUUACAGAGAAUAGCCAAGAAGAAGUAACGUUACCAUUGCCGACAAAAUUAAACACGGUUUCUUUUGUUGAUAUUGAAAAAGAAGUACCAGGUGCUGAAUUCAGUAAGCAAAUACUGCUCUUUACUAUUUCAUCUUCUUAUUGUACGAAAAGAUUCAUACAUGUUCAAUACCUGGAUUUUAACUUCAAAUCCGCAUGAGUUGCCGAAGCAGAUCUGCUGGCAGUUGCGAAUGUUGGAUCCAUGAAAUAUCAUGGUAGCGAAGACAAAAGAUGUCAGGAGGCUAUUGUCAUAGACAAGUAAGUAAAGUAGACUUUUAUUCAUGUUAACAACAGAAGACAUAUUCAAAACUCCAUUCUUAAUUUCAUAGGAAAAGACCUUUCUUGUUGUCCAUAUGGGGAGAACUUGCGGACAAUGAUGGAACUCAAUUGUUGCGGCAGCUCCAAGAAUAUCCUGUGAUUCUCGCUAAACGAAUAAUUGUUUCUAACUUUAAGAAAGACACUCGACUGACAACAAGGUUCAAUUCGACGAUCCUAAUCAACCCUCUAUACCCACAGGCAACAAAUUUAAUGAAUUGGGCAAAGGACAAUGAGCAGAUGCUAAUUGCAUACACUGUGAAGAGUUCAUCUGAAUCAUCUUCUUCACUAAACGUCGCGCCUUUUGAAGAUGAAAUAAUCUCCAUUUCAAGCAUUCCGUCACAAUCUACAAGUGUAAGCACUUGGUACGAAUCAAGCGGACGAAGGAGGUCCAAUGCAUUAACUGCAAGCUCCACAGAAUGCUAAUUCCAAGAUGCGAAUUUGAAGUUGAAAUCACAGAUGGCAGCGGAACAAUAGUAGCAACAGUGUCAGACAAAUUGGCUGAAAGAAUGCUCUCAAUGACAGCAGAGCAAAUAUAUGAAACAACCGUUAUCAAGGUGCACAUACAUAUAGCACUAACAUUAAUUCAUCUUAUGGAAUUUUAUUGAAAAUCUUUAAAUUAAUGAUUCAACAACGUUUGAACUUCUUUGCACCGAAACAAUUGUUACCUAUUGAGCAUAUCAGGGAAGAACUGUUGCACAAAUCGUUCAAAAUUCACCUACAGAAGUCAGUACUCUGGACACCGGAUAGAACGCCUGGCUCAUUAGUCGUUUUAUCUUACAACCAAAAACAAACCAUGUUCGAUUCACCGCAAUGCUCAACAUCAUUAACCAUUAGCGAGGGAACUAAAAGAAAGAUAGAUUAUAUCACUCCUACUGAAGAAGAUCCCACUUCCUCAACACAAGAUGUGUCAUUGAGCAAAAAAACAAAAAAACACUGAAGGAAGCAGAUUUAGAGGAGCAACUAUAACUACUUUUUGAUAUCCUACAGCAGCUAUAACGCUUAUGUUCGAAGCAAAUUUUGAUGCAGUUGUUCGCUGCAGUACAAUACUCCAAAUUUUGUGUAAAUAAGUGUGUGUCUGUGCGUUUGUAUAUGCUUGUAAAUGUGGGAAAUACUUGUUUUAGUUGCUGUAGUUCGAAGCAAAUUUUGAUGCUGUUUGCUGCAGUACAAUACUCCAAAUUUUGUGUAAAUAAGUGUGUGUCUGUGCGUUUGUAUAUGCUUGUAAAUGUGGGAAAUACUUGUUUUAGUUGCUGUAGUUCGAAGCAAAUUUUGAUGCUGUUUGCUGCAGUACAAUACUCCAAAUUUUGUGUAAAUAAGUGUGUGUACUGUGCGUUCGUAUAUGCUUGUAAAUGUGGGAAAUACUUGUUUUAGCUGCUGUAGCACUUACGCUCAGACCAUAUUUUGAUGCGGUUGUUCUCUGCGGUACAAUCCUUCACAUUUUGUGUAAAUGCUACGUAUCCUACCUGUUGGUUUGUUUGUUUGAGU